AAAGAAGCAAACCAAGGUCAAAGUUUGGGAAGCAUUGAAGAAUUGAAUGUGGGAAGGAGUGAGGAGGAGGCAGAACAAAAGCCCUCAGGUCAUUCCCGUAGCUCAUGGACCGACUCUGAGAUCAGGAUCUUCCUGCAGGAGUGGGAAGUAGUUGAACAGGAAGUGGGCCACACAGGCAAGAAGACGCAGAAGAAGACCAAGUUUCUUUGUCAGCGCCUCUAUCAUCGGGGCCUGAAGAAGAGCUGGAAAAGCUGUUUCCACCUACUGUGGAACCUGCAGGAUCUGCACAGGACUCUCUGUAAUGAGAGACCAGGGAUUGAGUUCUCUCUAUGAUGGGGCUGGUGACCCCAUGACCCCCGUGUACCCUCAGCCUCCCAGUUACAAGCCUUCGGAUUAUGGCAUCACUGUUCCUUCUGAGCAGCUUCAAGGGAAUCCGCCGCCAGUGAUGUCGCAGGAGGAUUCCCCAUUUCCCACGUGGGAGCCCUGGAAUCCCAGCUAUCCAUUGUCAGUUCCACACCUACUUCCUGGCUUUGUCCCAGGAAACCCCAACCUCCAGCAGCCAUGGUCAACCUGUGAUUUACACCAAGAUCCCCAAUGAAGAGGAGUGGAGAUUCCCUAUGUAUUCCCUGUAAACCUCAGGAUCAUGCAGUAUUGUGGACAUAGGCAUCUUCCUCUACCUCAUAAGAGAAGAAAAUGUGGAAACAAUUGAAGGUCCAUGAAGA
ensembl:antisense